rnacentral:rRNA from 1 species
AUUGAACGCUGGCGGCAUGCCUUACACAUGCAAGUCGAACGGCAGCACGGAGCUUGCUCUGGUGGCGAGUGGCGAACGGGUGAGUAAUAUAUCGGAACGUACCCAAGAGUGGGGGAUAACGUAGCGAAAGUUACGCUAAUACCGCAUACGAUCUAAGGAUGAAAGCAGGGGACCGCAAGGCCUUGUGCUCCUGGAGCGGCCGAUAUCUGAUUAGCUAGUUGGUGAGGUAAAGGCUCACCAAGGCAUCGAUCAGUAGCUGGUCUGAGAGGACGACCAGCCACACUGGAACUGAGACACGGUCCAGACUCCUACGGGAGGCAGCAGUGGGGAAUUUUGGACAACGGGGGCAACCCUGAUCCAGCAAUGCCGCGUGAGUGAAGAAGGCCUUCGGGUUGUAAAGCUCUUUUGUCAGGGAAGAAACGGUGAAGGCUAAUAUCCUUUGCUAAUGACGGUACCUGAAGAAUAAGCACCGGCUAACUACGUGCCAGCAGCCGCAGUAAAAC